rnacentral:misc_RNA from 1 species
CAACCCUCAAGCCUAGCUUGGUAUUGGGAGUCACUAGCGUAGUGCCCCCUAAAAUCAGUGGCGGUGCCAUUUUGGCCUCAAGUGUAGUAAUACUUCUUGCUUUGGAGGUUGGGAUGUGUGCCUGCCAGUAACUAUUAUUUUUCAAA